rnacentral:rRNA from 1 species
CCGGCGACCGGCGCACGGGUGAGUAACACGUAUGCAACCUGCCCGUGGCAGGGGGAUAAGCGGGGGAAACCCCAUCUAAUACCGCGUAACGCGGUCUAGGGACAUCCCAAGGCCGCCAAAGGGAGCAAUCCCGGCCACGGAUGGGCAUGCGGCGCAUUAGCUAGUCGGCGGGGUAACGGCCCACCGAGGCGACGAUGCGUAGGGGUUCUGAGAGGAAGGUCCCCCACACUGGUACUGAGACACGGACCAGACUCCUACGGAAGGCAGCAG